CUCACCAGCCAGCGCACCAGGACUUGGAGCCGGGCCGGGCAGGCCAUGGACAGCAGGGAGAGUGUGCAGCGGGAACAGCGAAGAUCACAGAAAACAACAGAGAAGCCCGAAUCGCCGGAAGGCGCCCCACGGGAAGAUCCGCACUGGUAACGCCUGGUAGUGGGGUGAGGGGGAGCAACUUUUGCUUUUUGCACUGUUCUGUGAUUCAGACAUGUUCUACAGUGAGCUUAAAACGCCAGAUGCGCACACACAAAAUGCACUAACAGAAAUCACACGCACGGCGGCUUCUCGGACUGGGAAACGCCUAAGCGUUUAGGGUGACGAUGGUGAUCUAGGUUAGCACUAAGCACCCUUCAGGUCAGACCUGCCAAUUUCUAAAUAAUCAAUCUUCAAAUCUGCAUCGGGUCAGCACUCGCUCCACUCCAGUCGGUCUGUAGAUCCAGUCCCCAGGAUUGAACAGACUCGACUCCCUUCUUCAGGGACCCUCUCAGCGCCCUGGGCUGAGUUCAGGGCCGCUUCCCCCGCUGAUUUUCUGCAUCUCAGAACCACCACCUCCGCUCAGAAGGACUGUGCCUGUGCCAUCCACAGGGAUGACAUAAAGACACUGCAGAGCACCGGCACCCUCAUGGGGAAGCUGGAAUCCCGCCCUGGGAAGGAUGUGAGAUGGUGCCCAGCCUGGGAAAGGAGGCCGAGGGUUUCUUACGUAAACUCAUACCUGCAUCCGCAGGAAGCUACCCAGAGAAGUACAGCCACAGAGGAGCUGCGUGCAAAGUCCACAGCACACUCAGGACGACCAAGCCCUGGGACAACCCAGUCCAUCCACGAGAGACGGGGAACACCCCAAGGAGUGAAGGUGGCGGACAAGACAAGCCUAGUGAACCUGCUUAUGUCAAAUGUCUUCAGAAGGCAAAUCUCUGGACAGAAAACAAAGCAGCAUUUGCCUGGAGAUCCAUGGAACCACAACUCCGGAAGGCCGGGAAUCUGUACCAACUUUCAAGCUCACUUUCCUGUCCCUGUCCUCUCAGCAGUGCCCCUGCUGCUUUCUGGUUCCCUGAGUCUCCCUGUUCUGGUUCCCGGGCCACAUGCUCCCCACAGCUGUGUCCUCAGAGAGACUAAAGCACCAAGGUUCACCCCCUUCCCAGGAUAA
rnacentral:lncRNA from 1 species